ACAAACUGAGAAGAAAAAAAAAGAAUUACCCCCAACAACAUCUGAGGAAGUAGAACAGGGACAGACUUGAAGGCACCUGGGCAGUCCUCUGGUUUUGGAGUAGAGGCAGCUGACGUCUGGUGAUGAUUCACCAUAUCAGGAACACCCUGUCCAGUGGGCUCAGGCAAGCCUGCCAGGCCACUUCUCUAAAGACACAACCUGAGGCCUCCUGCAAUAAUUCUCACAGAGCAUUCUGAACAUACAUAAAAUCACAAUGGUAAGAAAAUGAAGACAGGCAAAAGCCACUGGCUCCCAGGUAACUCUACAUGAUGAAGGGGCUGAUAAUGGACUGACCAAAUCUAGAGAGAAUUCCAGAAGCAAGGACUCAAGAGGUUAAAGGUCCCAGAUCUAGAAAAAGCAGAAACUGCUGAUUGUUCCUUUUUUUGUUGACUGAUUAUACAAUGUGUCCUUUUAAAAAUGGUUCUCUGUUCUCUUUGCAGUUGUUGUAUUG
rnacentral:lncRNA from 1 species